GUAACAGGUCUUCGGACGCUGACGAGUGGCGAACGGGUGAGUAAUACAUCGGAACGUGCCCAGUCGUGGGGGAUAACUACUCGAAAGAGUAGCUAAUACCGCAUACGAUCUGAGGAUGAAAGCGGGGGACCUUCGGGCCUCGCGCGAUUGGAGCGGCCGAUGGCAGAUUAGGUAGUUGGUGGGAUAAAAGCUUACCAAGCCGACGAUCUGUAGCUGGUCUGAGAGGACGACCAGCCACACUGGGACUGAGACACGGCCCAGACUCCUACGGGAGGCAGCAGUGGGGAAUUUUGGACAAUGGGGGAAACCCUGAUCCAGCCAUCCCGCGUGUGCGAUGAAGGCCUUCGGGUUGUAAACCGCUUUUAGCCGGGAAGAAAAGGCCAUCCCUAACAGGGGUGGUUUUUGACGGUACCGGCGGAAUAAGCACCGGCUAACUACGUGCCAGCAGCCGCGGUAAUACGUAGGGUGCGAGCGUUAAUCGGAAUUACUGGGCGUAAAGCGUGCGCAGGCGGUAAUGUAAGACAGGUGUGAAAUCCCGGGCUUAACCUGGGAACUGCAUUUGUGACUGCAUUGCUGGAGUGCGCAGAGGGGAUGGAAUUCCGCGUGUACA
rnacentral:rRNA from 1 species